AACGAAAAAGGACGUUAUCUUUUAUACCAACAACAUAUAUACAAACACUACGUAAUGGCAUUUUUAACAGUUACAGAAACUUUUAUUUACAAACUAGAAAAGUGCUCGGUUUAAAUAAUUUAAGGAUUAUGUACUUCAGACGGGUCCGUGUUGGUGGUUGGACCCUGACUUUAUUUGUGAUACUGGAUGCUGUAUUGUGUGCCCUGAAAUGUAUUUUUGUACUAAUAGACAGUUUAUUAAGGCACAUCAGUACGAAUUUGUUUUGAUAUGACGACGCAGCUUCAUCCUGGGUUUAGUUCUUUGUGUGGCGACAUUCUUUUUGUUCUCUUUUUUUUUCUUCUUUGCAGCACAUUUCUAAGUAUACAACUGUAUUAAUAAAUUCAUUUUAAAGUAAAAAUUGUUUUUACUCUUUGACAAACGUGGUGUUGGAGAAUCUUGACGAUUGUGAAAUGGAAAUGAUGUCAAUGACCCCUGUGUUGGGUACAGCAGGAAAGUGGUUCAUUUGGGUUUGUGGUUUUAGACAUGUUUAUUUUUGAGCUCAGAGGUUGAUGGGAAGGGAGGUCAUGAAUUUUGUACACUUGCCCUUUCACCUACUUAAAACAGAUACUGCAGCUGAUUAGAGUCAAUCUCUUGACCAGCUGACGCAAGACCAUUGAGAAAACCAGCGGCCAGCUUUCUUAAACGCCAUUGUGUCAGCAGAACGACUUUUCAACCCAUAAAGCAGUGGCUCUCAAAUGGUUUGUGGCAAGUGGUGACUCGGAACCACAAUUAUUUUACUAAAGUAAAUAAUGUCAUUCAAAUUGACAUUUUAAAUUAAAUUGUCAGAUUUAAUUUGAGUGACAAAUUUGAGCCAAAAUACUAGGGCUGGGU